UGUAUUUUGUUCCGAUCAAACAAAGCAUAAACGAGUAGUAGUUGGAGAAAAAAGAGUCAAGUAUAUUAUAACGCGGCAAUUUGACAGUGAUAACUGAUAAGUGAGAAACACAUGUACAGUCGAUAAUGAAACCCAUUCGAAGGGAUGACUUGUUUGUUACUUUACGAUUGGUCAGAUCUAUGACUAAUCUUAAACAGAGGCACACACAUUGGGUCACCGAGUUUUGAGUUUUCAGCCUCACUGUCCAAUACAUAGAACCAAAAUAUCUCUCCAUUAUGUAAUAUACUGUAGUACUUUUCACCCUCCAAAAUCCAUCAUCUCCAUAAUCAAAACCCAAACUUUCAACUCUUUUCUCCUCCGCAUGGAAGCCAAAUCCAAUGACAGCCGCACUUUCUCUAUCAAUUGAAUGGGAAAUGGCGAAAUGCUUUGCCCUCCAUCAACUUCUCCCUGCAUGAGUUCUUGGCAACAUUCUAAAUCUUUACGAGAUAGCGAAGAAGGUGCAAAUGGUUCUCCAAGAUGAAGCAGUUAUUAUGCAGAGUAGAGUUUGAUGGUUAGUGGUUACUCUGAGGAAACUUUCUCUUUUAAUCAUUGAGUCAUACAAGGAUGCACACAAGAAGGGUGUCCAGGUAAAAAUCUCUAUUCAAGAGGAAGAUUGGAAAUUCAUUUGUGUUAGUGGUUAUUGAUUUUUGAAAAAACAAGUUACUGCUUAGGAAUGCUGCCAGGGCUCAAUGAGGGGUUGAAGUCAUGACAUUAACCGUGAGAUGAACCUCAUUUUUGCAUACAAAAACCCUGUCAGAAAAGGCUUAUUUGUCCUUUGAUAGUGAUUUUGAUUUUGCAAUCUUAUUUAUUCAAAUUAUGUACGGAUAAUUGGAAAUGAUGGUGAACCUUCUUUUCCCUGCUUCUUUUGUCCCUGUCCUAUUUUGUUAAGUGGGAAAAAUCAAUUCUAUAUGUUCUUCCAUUUUUGUCUUUGUUAA